UAUAUUUUAAUUCCUAACUCGGUCACUAUAUUUAGCCCCUUUCCAAACAAAACCCUUGCCGUCAAUUACCAUGUACAUCUCUUGCAGACGAAAGCCACCGUCAAACCAAAGCUCUCAAAUCUCACAUCGCCGGCAACUGAAAAACAAGGAUCGUUGGCGACCUUCUAUUAACAAUACUUUAUCAACACCGAACUAGUGAAAGAUUAGCUCUCUCUUAUCUUUUCUUUUGAUGGAGAUCGAUGUGAAGAUAUGUGUAUAUAUGCAUAACAUAUACAAAGAUGGAGUAUUGUUGAGAGAAGAUCGAUGUGAAGUGCGGCUGUCUCCGGGUGGGUCGUUUCAUAAGGCUUCCUGUCGCCCUUGAAGUUGAGCCGAGUUCAAACACUAAAGCGGAGAUUCGAGCUCGAGCCGACCUCGAACACUCCAGCUGCAGAUGGAGCCGAGCUCAAACAGCCCACUACUUAGCUUGGCUCGGCUCAAUUGCAGCCUACACACAGUUACUUUUCAUUCUCCCUAGUUUUAUAUUUAAUAUAUUGAGAAAAUUAUAUAUAAAUGGAGUUAAAGUUCCAUAUUUACUUAGAGGUUAAGUCAAAGUUCCAUAUUUCUCUAAAAUGGAUUGCUGAGGUGGCACAUGGUUUUUUACUGUUUAGAAAUUGUGGUGCCUAAAAUACCCUUUCGCGAAGGUACUACUUUUUCUUCGAAGGUACUACUUUUUUGAACUGAAGGUACUACUUUUUGGUGUCCAGGUACCAUGUUUUUUAAACACCCGCGAAGGUACUACUUUUUCUUUGAAGGUACUACUUUUUUGAACUGAAGGUACUACUUUUUUGUUAGGCAAGGGCAUUUUAGGCACCACAAUUUUCUAAACAGUAAAAAAUCAUGUGCCACCUCAACAAUCCAUUUUAGAGAAAUAUGGAACUUUGACUCAGUCUCUAAGUAAAUAUGAAACUUUAACUCCAUUUAUAUGUAAUUUUCCCUAAUAUAUUUACGUUUUCAUGCCUCCUUUAUUUAAAUAUUUGUUGGUAAUCUUUUGAUGCAUUGUUUACUUUCUCCAGAUUUGUACUUUAUUUUAUUUGUACCAUAGGUUUAGCCUCUUGCACCUUUACUUUCGUGUAGUUUCUUUUAGGCCUAAUUUGGUAGGCAAUAAUGAAAUAGAAUGGAAUGGAAUGAGAAUGUGAAUGGAAUAAAAUGGUAUUUUUAUUGU